GCACUUUGUGAACCCUUUGACAUUUCUCUUUUAAUUAGCAUGCCUGAGAAUUGGUGAGCGGAUCUCAGUACACCUAUUUUGACAGUCUGGAUUACAGGAACAACAGUGUCCUCACUUGAAUUUAGUGAGCUUUCUAGUCACUGCAAAUAACAAAAGCCAGCUUAAACAUAGAACCAAUGAGAAGCAGAUGAAAAUUGGCAGUUUUCCAGGAAAGCCUCAGACAAAAGAAGCACUGCAUAUUUCAGCUUGCUCUACUGGCCACAAUAUUGCCCUAAUAACAAGAGAACCCAGUGAUCCAAGGAAGAUGAGAGGAAGAUGCUGGUGGGAGCUGAAAACCAAGAAUGAUGCUGGAACUGGAGGGUGAAGCAGAAAGUGCUACAGGAAGAUGUGGGGCGCUCUAGAGGCGGAGUCCUCUGGCACUACCCGCUCCCAGGAAAAAUACUGAAAAGAGGCUGAGCAGUGUUAUUAAAUAUUUCACUUACC
rnacentral:lncRNA from 1 species